CGGAUUGGAGUCUGNAACCCGACUCCAUGAAGCUGGAUUCGCUAGUAAUCGCGCAUCAGCCACGGCGCGGUGAAUACGUUCCCGGGCCUUGUACACACCGCCCGUCAAGCCAUGGAAGCCGGGAGUGCCUGAAGUGCGUGACCGCAAGGAGCGCCCUAAGGCAAUACCGGUGACUGGGGCUAAGUCGUAACAAGGUAGC
rnacentral:rRNA from 1 species